rnacentral:lncRNA from 1 species
CCCAUUCAAUAUUCAUAAUUCAUUCUUCCCAAGUUCCACUUCCACUCUUCUCUCUCCGUUGGCCUCGACUUUGUACUUCUCGAUCUGCCACUCAGCCGCUUAGGGAAGAUUCCACAUUUCUGCCGGCCUUCAACGUUCGAGCCCUAGAUGCAGUACCUUCAAGCCCUUGAACUUCUCUAGAUGCGACAGCCGACAGCAGUCCUUCGAAUCUACAUUUCCACGAUUCAACAGCAGAAGAAGAAGGUGAAGCCCCUUAACUCUGAUUCCUAAACCGCACUCAAGUUCUUCUUAACUUUUCUUCUGUUAAUUACUUAUUUUGCUUUGUGUUUUGUGUACUGUUGUGAUUUUUUCUUUUGAACAUAUGAAAUUACUUUUGAAUUGCUUGAAGUCUUGAAUUGUUGUUAAAUUACUUUUGAAUUGCUCUUUAAAUUAGACUUAGAAGCCCCAGGCUUGUGAAGUCCUCGAGCCUAAUUCGAUGAAUACUGAAGCCUGCUCAAGUCUCUAUGUACUCUGUGAGUUUGCUUACUCUAUCUCUGUGAUUGAAGCCUACUUCCAUUCCAUAUUGCUAAAUGCUAAUGCUGCCUCUCUAUGACUAUGAAAGCAUUUUAUAAUUCUGUGACUGUGAAAUGCUAAUUGCUUACUCUGUGAAUUGAUUCCAGACUUUCUAGUAAUUAUUGCUAUUUGAAUUGCACUGUGAAUUGAAAACAUUUUUAAAUCUUAAUAGCUAUAAUGUUUAAAUACAGAGAUGAAAUGAAAAGAUUCUUUCAAAGAAAAUGAAUACGAUUUCUAUUGAUUGAAUUUCCUAUUAUGGAUGGCAGGAGGGCCGGGUGGCUUUGAAGGUCAUUUUUAGUAUUGUUUUAUAUUUUUAUCAUCAUUACAUCUAUGACUAAAAACUCAAUGUUCGGCAUGGACAAAAUUGUGCCCGCACUGAACGCCAAUCCUUGCUCCGCCCCUGUGUGUUAGGACAAACAAUGUAAUUUAUUGAGACUCUUUAAUUCAAUUUUCAAGAUCUUAGUUCUCAAAUUCACGUGUUGAUUUUAUUUAUAGUGUUUUAUGCAUGAAUUACUUGGCCAAUAGUUCAUUGAUCUUGUACAUAUAUUACGAGUCGAGAAACGAGUUUUAGGUUUAGACCACGCUAUAAAUUUUGGGAACUAGUAUAAAAGUGUAGAGAUGUCUUUUCUAGUUAAUGCGGUCGUUAUAUAAAUUUCUAGAGAUUUAAGGUGUUUAACUAAGGUAUAUCUAGAUUCACAUAAAAAUAUGAAAUUGAUUUAGUUUAAUAAAAUUAAUUUGAACUCGAGAGAGGUAAAUUAAAUACAUUAGAAGAAUUCGACUGACCAUUACAUUAUGUUAUGAGUCUUGAUUAGAGGAUUAAAGGUGAUUGGUAAAUAAAAUUGUGUACCCUAAUAUAUCCUUCAAAUUUAAAAACUUGAUUCAAUUUUCUUGUGCAUCCAAUAACAAUCAAGUUAGUAUAAUUAGAUCAAAAUUUCAAAUUAUAAAUUAUUUUCUUCAAAUAGAAGUAAAAAUUGUAAACUAUAAUAGUCCCUGUGGGAACGACUAUUCGAACUCAAAUAUUUACUAUAUUACUUUUUCGAUAUUGUAAACUUGCGAUAAGAAAAAUGUAACAGAGAGAAUUGUGUAGUAGAUUUAGAGAUGUGAAGGUCCUUGGACUAAAUGCUCCUAUUUGCCCAACAUGAUGGUUGCGUUUUGCAGAGAUUAGUUCCUUCGAUAUCUAAGUUCUUUUGAAAUUCACGUGUGAUUGAUGGUUUUAUCAUAUUGUCCGGGCUUUGUUCAACGACCACCUCACUAUCAAUUUUGCCCUACGGGACCUUUCGUUGCGACCAUGGUUAUUUGAACUCUCUCUUUCAUGAUACGGUGGUCGACCAGGCCAUAUCAUUAGCCCCAUGAUCACAGAUGAAUCACAUUCUUUGGUAAGCACUUUUUCUCAGCACAGACGGUCUAGCAUUAUCGCAGUACAUUAUCCAUGCAACACUACCACAUCAUCCGUUGUGUGGGCAAGUCAACUGGUUUUGCGACUUCAUGAAUGUCCAUGACUUUGACAUCUUGUCUUCUACUUGCAGUUCUUAGCCUAGGUCAAUAAUCACAUUGGUCUAGGUUGCCAUGUUGAUAAUUUGCAUUAGCUCAGUAUUUGAGCGAGAAGGAUGAAGAGUCUUCUCAAAUUUCGGAUGAAGAAUUUCUAGUAAUUUGAUUUAUUUCCGUUUUGCAUUUAGAUACUUGCUCUAUCCUAUAAGAUUGUGAAUUUAAAAAAAGUCAACAUAAUUUUGUGUGUGAUGGACAAAGUGCAAUUUGUGCAAAUUUAGUGACCAUUUGAAAUUCAUAGUACAGUGAAUAAAGCGUGGUAAUGAACAAAAUUUUAAUGUGUAAU